rnacentral:rRNA from 1 species
UCGGGAAUUUUGGGCAAUGGGCGAAAGCCUGACCCAGCAACGCCGCGUGAAGGAUGAAGUAUUUCGGUAUGUAAACUUCGAAAGAAUAGGAAGAAUAAAUGACGGUACUAUUUAUAAGGUCCGGCUAACUACGUGCCAGCAGCCGCGGUAAUACGUAGGGACCAAGCGUUGUUCGGAUUUACUGGGCGUAAAGGGCGCGUAGGCGGUUAUGCAAGACAGAUGUGAAAUCCCCGGGCUCAACCUGGGAACUGCAUUUGUGACUGUAUAGCUAGAGUACGGUAGAGGGGGAUGGAAUUCCGCGUGUAGCAGUGAAAUGCGUAGAUAUGCGGAGGAACACCGAUGGCGAAGGCAAUCCCCUGGACCUGUACUGACGCUCAUGCACGAAAGCGUGGGGAGCAAACAGGAUUAGAUACCCCCGUAGUCCCUGAGCGGGCUGGCAAGGCGCAU